AUUGAACGCUGGCGGCAGGCCUAACACAUGCAAGUCGAACGAGCGGCGGACGUGUGAGUAAUGUCUGGGAAACUGCCUGAUGGAGGGGGAUAACUACUGGAAACGGUAUCUAAUCCCGCAUAACAUCAGAUGUGCCCAGAUGGGAUUAGCUAGUAGGUGGGGUAAUGGCUCACCUAGGCGACGAUCCCUAGCUGGUCUGAGAGGAUGACCAGCCACACUGGAACUGAGACACGGUCCAGACUCCUACGGGAGGCAGCAGUGGGGAAUAUUGCACAAUGGGCGCAAGCCUGAUGCAGCCAUGCCGCGUGUAUGAAGAAGGCCUUCGGGUUGUAAAGUACUUUCAGCGGGGAGGCGUUACCCGCAGAAGAAGCACCGGCUAACUCCGUGCCAGCAGCCGCGGUAAUUC
rnacentral:rRNA from 1 species